GACGAACGCUGGCGGCGCGCCUAACACAUGCAAGUCGAACGGAGUCAAGAGGAGCUUGCUUUUCUUGACUUAGUGGCGAACGGGUGAGUAACGCGUGAGUAACCUGCCCUGGAGUGGGGGACAACAGUUGGAAACGACUGCUAAUACCGCAUAAGCCCACGGAUCCGCAUGGAUCUGCGGGAAAAGGAUUUAUUCGCUUCAGGAUGGACUCGCGUCCAAUUAGCUAGUUGGUGAGGUAACGGCCCACCAAGGCGACGAUUGGUAGCCGGACUGAGAGGUUGAACGGCCACAUUGGGACUGAGACACGGCCCAGACUCCUACGGGAGGCAGCAGUGGGGGAUAUUGCACAAUGGGGGAAACCCUGAUGCAGCGACGCCGCGUGGAGGAAGAAGGUUUUCGGAUUGUAAACUCCUGUCGUUAGGGACGAUAAUGACGAUACCUAACAAGAAAGCACCGGCUAACUACGUG
rnacentral:rRNA from 1 species